ensembl:lncRNA
CUACAAGCAACCCUUCUUCUUUUUCGAAAACAAUGGAGUCAGGACAAAAUAGUCCGAUUCAACAAGAGAUAUUAAAAUGGAUACAUCUCAAACACAAGGAAAAAAGGUUGUGGGACAAAAUUCUAGCCUUGGAAAGGAAGUCUGGGAUGGAUCAGUUCAUGACAAGAAUGAGGGCCACGUUCCCCAUGAGGUGGCCAUGUGGUAGCCCAGAAAAGAUUCAAUCUCUGGUGCACAAGCUUUCGCAACAAGGGAAAGAUCCAGCAGACAACAGACAGAUGGGUGGUCUAAUGGCCCCGCAGACACCAGAAGAUGACAAAAAACAAGGUGACACUGAAUUAAAAUCUGCAAGGCUCAAAUGGACACCCCAAGACAUCCAUAAAUGUGCAGUCCAAGUGAAAAGAGAGUGGGAAUCAUGGGAUCGAUGGAGGCCAGAGUGGGGUUGUCUUUGCCCCAAGAGAGCAGACGUUGUGAGGCAUGAAGGGAGAACGGCACCCCUGCCUAUGACAGUUACGUAUAGAACGGACGAAGAGCUGACAAAGCUGGAGACACUGAGGAUGAGGGUAGCACUGCUGCAACAGGAGGUUUGUCUAGAAACGGCUUUGUCCGACACUUUGUCUCCACACCUUUCUUCAGUUGUGCAAAAACCUGUAAAUCCCAGUCUUCUGAGAGACCUCUAUUCUGUGCUGGGGGAAGGAGGGGAGGGGUUUCCUGCCAUAGUACUUGUCUCUGAACCUGACUCCUGAGAAUACACAGUGGACCCUCAUAGUGUACAAUGUGCUGCCAGAGCGCCAGCAGGCACAGUGCAGAAAAAGAGCCAGAGAGGAAAGCAGAGCAGGGGAAAGUGUCAGAGCUGACCACAAGCCCAGCCCAGCAGUUGCUGAUCGGUAUUGGGAUCUACCAGCCCACAGGCUCAGCAUGGGCUGUGCCACUGGCCACUUGGCUCUUCAAACCCAGCCGCCAACCACCUUAGGGCAUGAGGCUCACUCCCUGGAGGCCGGUGCUGCCAAAGUCCCAGAUGCACUUUCAUCACUGGAGCGUCUUUCCCAAGCCACUGGAGGCAUGGAGAAAUCUUGGUACCGCUGUAUCUUUCCU